AUUGAACGCUGGCGGCAGGCCUAACACAUGCAAGUCGAACGGAGCGGCGGAGGGGAGAGGGUGGCUUAGGAAUCGGCAUGGUAGUGGGGGAUGGGGUCCGGAAAUGGGCGCUAAUACCGCAUACUAUCACAUGAGCCUAGGUCGGAUUAGGGAGUUGGUGGGGUAAAGGCAUACCAAGGCGACGGUCCGUACCUGGUCUGAGAGGAUGAACAGCAACACUGGAACUGAGACACGGUCCAGACUCCUACGGGAGGCAGCAGUGGGGAAUAUUGAGCAAUGGGGGCAAGCCUGAUGCAGCCAUGCCGCGUGUGUGAAGAAGGUCUUCGGAUUGUAAAGUACUUUCAGUUGGGAGGCGUUACCAACAGAAGAAGCACCGGCUAACUCCGUGCCAGCAGCCGCGGUAAUAC
rnacentral:rRNA from 1 species